GACGAACCGUCCAACCGUUGUUCGGAAUUACUGGGCUUAAAGGGUGCGUAGGCGGCGCGGAAAGUUGGGUGUGAAAUCCCUCGGCUUAACCGAGGAACUGCGCCCAAAACUACCGUGCUCGAGGGAGAUAGAGGUGAGCGGAACUUAGGGUGGAGCGGUGAAAUGCGUUGAUAUCCUAAGGAACACCGGUGGCGAAAGCGGCUCACUGGAUCUCUUCUGACGCUGAGGCACGAAAGCUAGGGUAGCGAACGGG
rnacentral:rRNA from 1 species